rnacentral:rRNA from 1 species
CCUACGGGGCGCAGCAGUGGGGAAUAUUGGACAAUGGGCGAAAGCCUGAUCCAGCCAUGCCGCGUGUGUGAAGAAGGCCUUCGGGUUGUAAAGCACUUUCAGUGGGGAAGAAAGCCUUGGGGCUAAUACCCUCGAGGAAGGACAUCACCCACAGAAGAAGCACCGGCUAACUCCGUGCCAGCAGCCGCGGUAAUACGGAGGGUGCGAGCGUUAAUCGGAAUUACUGGGCGUAAAGCGCGCGUAGGCGGUCUGAUAAGCCGGUUGUGAAAGCCCCGGGCUCAACCUGGGAACGGCAUCCGGAACUGUCAGGCUAGAGUGCAGGAGAGGAAGGUAGAAUUCCCGGUGUAGCGGUGAAAUGCGUAGAGAUCGGGAGGAAUACCAGUGGCGAAGGCGGUCUUCUGGACUGACACUGACGCUGAGGUGCGAAAGCGUGGGUAGCAAACAGGAUUAGAUACCCUGGUAGUC